UAUAGAGAGGAAGAAAAGGUCUAACAUGAAGAUAAAGAGUCUUGUUUGGUAGCCAAGGAUGACUUGCCUGCACCUAAUGUCCACGAGGUUUUAAUACAUCAAAAACCCUGGUUGGGUCCCAGGCAGUCACCUUGGCUAACUAGACAGGCUGUUUUCAUUCAUGCUAGGCCUCAUCUUCCGCCCCAUUGG
rnacentral:pre_miRNA from 1 species